rnacentral:rRNA from 1 species
AUUGAACGCUGGCGGCAUGCUUUACACAUGCAAGUCGAGCGGCAGCGCGGGGCAACCUGGCGGCGAGCGGCGAACGGGUGAGUAAUAGAUAGGAACGUAUCCGGGAGUGGGGGAUAACUAGCCGAAAGGUUAGCUAAUACCGCAUAUUCUCCAAGGAGGAAAGCGGGGGACCUGCAAGGGCCUCGCGCUCGCGGAGUGGCCUAUCUCCGAUUAGCUAGUUGGUGAGGUAAAGGCUCACCAAGGCGACGAUCGGUAGCUGGUCUGAGAGGAUGAUCAGCCACACUGGGACUGAGACACGGGCCCAGACUCCUACGGGAGGCAGCAGUGGGGAAUUUUUGGACAAUGGGGGCAACCCUGAUCCAGCCAUGCCGCGUGCGGG